AGGGAAGCAACAUCGCGAGGUGAAGCAAAUCCCCAAAAAGUAGUCUCAGUUCAGAUUGUAGGCUGCAACUCGCCUACAUGAAGUCGGAAUUGCUAGUAAUCGCGGAUCAGCAUGCCGCGGUGAAUACGUUCCCGGGCCUUGUACACACCGCCCGUCACACCAUGAGAGCCGGUAACACCCGAAGUCAGUAGCCUAACCGCGAAGGGGGGCGCUGCCGAAGGUGGGAUUGGUAAUUGGGGUGAAGUCGUAACAAGGUAAC
rnacentral:rRNA from 1 species